CCAAAUACGUCACAUUCAUUCAUUCAUUGUGAAACAGGAAGAAGCAUCGAUAAGAAGAUAAUUCAUAUUGUUUGCUAACCGCUAAAAAGUAGUUGUUUGCCGUGUGGUCCAAGCCUGAUGCAGGGCAGUUCUGCUGGGUCGAGGGGUCCCUGCUGCAGUUUUACCAGUAAAGAAAAUGACUCAUUACAAUUCACUUGGAGGACCACAUAAGCCAUGCAAUGGUGCAUGGAGGUAUGGAGCACCAAGAGGACAUAAAGUGGAAGUUACCAAAGGUCCAUCAUGGUGCUGGAAACAGAGUCGCUGUGAGUUAUUCUGUGGGGUGGUGAAAGGUCCUGCCUUUCUACAGAUGGACAGUAAAAAUCAACAGAAUGCCAUCAAAGACUACUGCGGGGAGAAUAGGAUGAAGCAAGAGAAGUCUUUUUAUUCAUCUUUGAGUAUCUGGAGGAGC